GAUUGAACGCUGGCGGCAGGCCUAACACAUGCAAGUCGAGCGGAAACGAUGGAAGCUUGCUUCCAGGUGUCGAGCGGCGGACGGGUGAGUAAUGCAUAGGAAUCUGCCCGAUAGUGGGGGAUAACCUGGGGAAACUCAGGCUAAUACCGCAUACGUCCUACGGGAGAAAGCAGGGGAUCUUCGGACCUUGCGCUAUCGGAUGAGCCUAUGUCGGAUUAGCUUGUUGGUGGGGUAAUGGCCUACCAAGGCGACGAUCCGUAGCUGGUCUGAGAGGAUGAUCAGCCACAUCGGGACUGAGACACGGCCCGAACUCCUACGG
rnacentral:ncRNA from 1 species